rnacentral:rRNA from 1 species
GAUGAACGCUGGCGGCGUGCCUAAUACAUGCCAGUCGAGCGAACAGACGAGGAGCUUGCUCCUCUGACGUUAGCGGCGGACGGGUGAGUAACACGUGGAUAACCUACCUAUAAGACUGGGAUAACUCCGGGAAACCGGAGCUAAUACCGGAUAAUAUAUUGAACCGCAUGGUUCAAUAGUGAAAGACGGUUUUGCUGUCACUUAUAGAUGGAUCCGCGCCGCAUUAGCUAGUUGGUAAGGUAACGGCUUACCAAGGCAACGAUGCGUAGCCGACCUGAGAGGGUGAUCGGCCACACUGGAACUGAGACACGGUCCAGACUCCUACGGGAGGCAGCAGUAGGGAAUCUUCCGCAAUGGGCGAAAGCCUGACGGAGCAACGCCGCGUGAGUGAUGAAGGUCUUCGGAUCGUAAAACUCUGUUAUUAGGGAAGAACAAAUGUGUAAGUAACUAUGCACGUCUUGACGGUACCUAAUCAGAAAGCCACGGCUAACUACGUG